rnacentral:rRNA from 1 species
GACGAACGCUGGCGGCGUGCUUAACACAUGCAAGUCGAACGGAAAGGCCCUGCUUUUGUGGGUUGCUCGAGUGGCGAACGGGUGAGUAACACGUGAGUAACCUGCCCUUGACUUUGUGAUAACUUCUCGAAACUGGGGCUCAUACCGGAUAUGAGCUCCUGCUGCAUGGUGGGGGUUGGAAAGUUUCGGCGGUUGUGGAUGGACUCGCUGCUUAUCCGCUUGUUUGUGGGGUAGUUGCUUACCAAGGGUUUGACGGGUAGCCGGCCUGAGAGGGGGACCGGCCACAUUGGGACUGAGAGACGGACCAGAAUCGUACGGGAGGCAGCAGGGGGGAAUAUUGCACAAUGGGCGGAAGCCUGAGGCAGCAACGCCGCGUGCGGGAUGACGGCCUUCGGGUGGUAAACAGCUUUCGCCUGUGACGAAGCGUGAGUGACGGUAAUGGGUAAAGAAGCACCGGCUAACUACGUG